rnacentral:rRNA from 1 species
GACGAACGCUGGCGGCGUGCUUAACACAUGCAAGUCGAACGCUGAAGCUCAGCUUUUGUUGGGUGGAUGAGUGGCGAACGGGUGAGUAACACGUGAGUAACCUGCCUCCUUCUUUGGGAUAACGCCCGGAAACGGGUGCUAAUACUGGAUAUUCACUGGUCUUCGCAUGGGGGUUGGUGGAAAGGGUUUUUCUGGUGGGGGAUGGGCUCGCGGCCUAUCAGCUUGUUGGUGGGGUGAUGGCCUACCAAGGCUUUGACGGGUAGCCGGCCUGAGAGGGUGACCGGGAACAUUGGGACUGAGAUACGGCCCAGACUCCUACGGGAGGCAGCAGUGUGGAAUAUUGCACAAUGGGCGCAAGCCUGAUGCAGCGACGGCGCGUGAGGGAUGGGGGCCUUCGGGUUGUGAACCUCUUUCGCUCAUGGUCAAGCCGCAACAAUGGUUGUGGUGAGGGUAGUGGGUAAAGAAGCGCCGGCUAACUACGUG